CACAGUGGAGGGGCGGGGGUCGACUCAGAUCUGCGCAUUUUCGGACACCGGUGGUCUUGUGGUCUUCAGACUUGAGAGCACCUCGGACCUGGCCGGUUUUGAGGUCUCCGCGGCAUCGCGGCACCUCGGCUCCUGGCUGUAGAAGGGACUCACGUGACGGAAUCCACGGUUGCAAAGCCAGGCGGGCACUGGGAGGGGGUGCUCCGUGCGGGGUUCGCUCCAUCCGAUGUCUCCUUAGGAGGGUCAGGGUUUCUGUCUGGUCCGAGGUAGGGGCCACAGGCUGGCUGGGUUUCACUGCUUCUCUGAUCUCCAGCAGCUCAGCCUCGUCUGAGCCCACGAUCCACAGGGAGCUACUCUCGGACACAGUAGUGACAGCAUUGGCCCCGAAGAGCUGGGGACUAGCUCUCCCUCGCAGGGUCGCCCCUUUUUGCUGACAGUGGAUUUGUUUCUGAUGUUUAACUUGGAGUUUCUCUGCCUACCCAGAGCCCUGAACACCACUUGGGUGCUCAGACCUCCUGUGAGUGAGGAAAGUCUCUUCUGACACCGCCCCCACCCCAACUCCUGCGGACCCUACAUCCAGCCGAGGGUAGGCGCUGAGCUAUGAGGGCAGUUAAGGAAGGCUAUGAAAUAACUGUUAUUUCAAAAGUCUACAGUGUCCGUCUUUACAGUAGCCCUGGGGGAAUACCGGGUCCCAUCCGCGGCCAGAGACUUCUGGACAUGUCAGUCAGCAGGGACCGGGACCUCGGAGGGCGAACAUGGUGCCUGAUGACCUGGCGCUUUCUUGUCAGGACAGAGAGUAACAUUCGUUUGGUAGAGACUUACAGGAACACCGUUACCUGACCUCAAGAACAAAGGAUGUGAUGCCGAGAAGUCUGCAUCAACCAACCAGGCUCCUCCCUCACCUUUCCUAGGAAAGGGCUUUGCCGAGAGCUUUUGAGGAGUUUGGGGCUUUUAAGGCAUAAGCCACCUAUCUCCUCACAUGGCUCUGCAAUAAACCUUCCUCUGUUCCAAACUCUUGACAUUUUGGGAUUAUUUGCCUCAUUGUGUGUUGAGGGCAUGGACUUGUGUUUUGGUAACAGUAGGAGGUGCUAAAGGCCUGAGCCCAGGACCUAUGUCUGCCCCUCGCCCACGGGGAUAGGGUUUUUUUUUUUCUGCUGCUGCUUCCUCCUGCGACACGUGGUAGGUAUUACCCGUGAUCUGGGUGCAACAAAACGGUUUUGCUAACCCUUCCUCCAGCAACAUAGGACUUCUGUUCCUCAAGAGAGAGGUUUCUGGAAGGAUGGGACUUCCUGGUUCCCACUGCCCUCCUCUGGCUCAGGGGAGUCUCUGUGUGAUCUCCAGCCCCGCCCUGUGUUCCUCUUCUCUAUCUGUAUCACAGAUCACCACCAAUUCAGUGAUUUAGAGCAGCUCACAGUUCUGAGGCCACGUGACCCAAUGGAGUGGCCACGCACUCUGCUCGGGUUUCCAAAACAAAAUCAAAAUGCUGGACAGGCUGGCCUCUUCUCCGGGGCUUCCAGGGACAGUUCACUCCUGGUGUUCAGAGUCAGGGGAAGUGGGUUUCUGGUGGUUUGGGCCAGAGGCCCCUGCCCCGCUGCCCGCUCUGGGCUGAGGUCCUCCCUCAGCAUCUUCUCACACUCACACUCAGCUCCAAAGCCAGAAAUGAUGGACGGGCUCCUUCUGGGGUCCUCCCUCUUCACGUCUCUCUUCUUCUGCCCCCAUCCAUUUCCAGCUCAGAGAUGAAGUGUCCUGCCGAUGUUUUUACGUGAGUCUCACCACGUCAUCUGUUUAUUUCCAGGUUUUCUUAGUGUCUUUGCAAAGGCUUAGCAUCAGACUGUAGCCAAAGCGGCUUGGUCCUGUCUGCACAGUCAAACUUGUUUCUACACUCUCCCCUAGAGAGCCUUGGAGGCCUGAGCCAAGCCUCCAGCGGACGGUGUCUGCUUCUCCCAGACCAGCAAGGAAGGACCAUGUGCCAGGUGAGCAUGGCACUUCUGUGCUUUUCGUUUUACCAUGGAUUUCAGGAUGCUUAAAAGAAUGCUUAAAAGAAUUCGUCCAGUGAAAAACAAUGCCAACAGAAAUCAGGGCCAGUGAAAACAGGAGGAGAAUGGAAGAUCAAAGCCAUGGGGAGGGCAUACUACAUAGGCUGCUGGAGUUAUUAGCUGCCCUCUAAACUUGGGUCUGACAUGUCUGUCACUUUAAAAAGACAGAUUCCAAAUAAAUAAAUAAAUAAAAAUAAAAAGACAGAUUCUGUCCAAUACAUAACUUGUGUUGUCUGGAAC